rnacentral:rRNA from 1 species
ACGAACGCUGGCGGCGCGCUUAACACAUGCAAGUCGAACGGAAAGGCCUGCUUUCCCUUGUGGAUUGCGGGUACUCGAGUGGCGAACGGGUGAGUAACACGUGAGUGAUCUGCCCCCAACUUGGGUAUAAGCCUGGGAAACUGGGUCUAAUUCCCGAUAGGACUGCAGGGUGGUGCCUGUGGUGGAAAACGAUUUUCUAGUGGUUGGGGAUGAGCUCGCGGCCUAUCAGCUUGUUGGUGGGGUAAUGGCCUACCAAGGCGGCGACGGGUAGCCGGCCGGAGAGGGUGGACGGCCACAUUGGGACUGAGAUACGGCCCAGACUCCUACGGGAGGCAGCAGUGGGGAAUAUUGCACAAUGGGCGGAAGCCUGAUGCAGCGACGCCGCGUGGGGGAUGACGGCCUUCGGGUUGUAAACUCCUUUCGACCGCGAGGAAGCCACCUGGUUGGAAGGGUGGUGACGGUAGUGGUAGAAGAAGCACCGGCUAACUACGUG